rnacentral:rRNA from 1 species
GAAAGCCUGAUGCAGCAACGCCGCGUGAAGGAUGAAGGGUUUCGGCUCGUAAACUUCUAUCAAUAGGGACGAAAAAAAUGACGGUACCUAAAUAAGAAGCCCCGGCUAACUACGUGCCAGCAGCCGCGGUAAUACGUAGGGGGCAAGCGUUAUCCGGAAUUACUGGGUGUAAAGGGAGAGUAGGCGGCAUGGUAAGUUAGAUGUGAAAGCCCGAGGCUUAACCUCGGGAUUGCAUUUAAAACUAUCAAGCUAGAGUACAGGAGAGGUAAGUGGAAUUCCUAGUGUAGCGGUGAAAUGCGUAGAUAUUAGGAAGAACACCAGUGGGGAAGGCGACUUACUGGACUGAAACUGACGGUGAGGCUAGAAAGCGUGGGGAGCGAACAGGAUUAGAUACCCUGGUAGUCC